CUGCUAAAGCGGAGGAAGGAAUGGGCAACGUAGGUCAGUAUGCCCCGAAUAUCCCGGGCUACACGCGAGCUACAAUGGUUGGUACAAUGGGUAUCUACCCCGAAAGGGGACGGGAAUCUCCUAAAACCAAUCUUAGUUCGGAUUGAGGGCUGCAACUCGCCCUCAUGAAGCUGGAAUCCGUAGUAAUCGCGUUUCAACAGAACGCGGUGAAUACGUCCCUGCUCCUU
rnacentral:rRNA from 1 species